GGAACUGAAACAUCUAAGUACCCAGAGGAAAGGACAUCAAACGAGACUCCGCUAGUAGUGGCGAGCGAACGCGGACCAGGCCAGUGGCUUAUGUGAGUAAAGUGGAACAAUCUGGAAAGGUUGGCUAAAGUGGGUGAUAGCCCCGUACACGUAGAACGAUCAUAAGUCCUUGAGUAGGGCGGGACACGUGAAAUCCUGUCUGAACAUGGGUCGACCACGAUCCAAGCCUAAGUACUCGUGCAUGACCGAUAGCGAACCAGUACCGUGAGGGAAAG
rnacentral:rRNA from 1 species